rnacentral:lncRNA from 13 species
GCCAGUAAAACAUCACUAUCAAUAUCACUAAUAACAUCAAUACUAACCUGGUCCCAGAUCUGGUUGUGCUUUUCAUCACUAUCAAUAUCACUAAUAACAUCAAUACAAACCUGGUCCCAGAUCUGUUUGUGCUUUUCAUCCCUAUCAAUAUCACUAAUAACAUCAAUACUAACCUGGUCCCAGAUCUGUUUGUGCUUUUCAUCACUAUCACUAAUAACAUCAAUACUAACCUGGUCCCAGAUCUGUUUGUGCUUUUCAUCACUAUCAAUAUCACUAAUAACAUCAAUACUAACCUGGUCCCAGAUCUGUUUGUGCUUCUACCUACACACCAUUGUCAUUGUCAAGCCAAAUGUUUUGCAUGACUGUUCCAUAAAGAGUUGGCAAGAGAGCAGAAACAGACUGGCACCCAGGCUACACCAAUACAUCUCCUACUGACCAAACCAACGGUCUAGAACACAGAACAGACUGGCACCCAGGCUACACCAAUACAUCUCCUACUGACCAAACCAACGGUCUAGAACACAGAACAGACUGGCACCCAGGCUACACCAAUACAUCUCCUACUGACCAAACCAACGGUCUAGAACACAGAACAGACUGGCACCCAGGCUACACCAAUACAUCUCCUACUGACCAAACCAACGGUCUAGAACACAGAACAGACUGGCACCCAGGCUACACCAAUACAUCUCCUACUGACCAAACCAACGGUCUAGAACACAGAACAGACUGGCACCCAGGCUACACCAAUACAUCUCCUACUGACCAAACCAACGGUCUAGAACACAGUCUAGAACACAGACUGGCACCCAGGCUACACCAAUACAUCUCCUACUGACCAAACCAACGGUCUAGAACACAGAACAGACUGGCACCCAGGCUACACCAAUACAUCUCCUACUGACCAAACCAACGGUCUAGAACACAGAACAGACUGGCAACCAGGCUGCACCAAUACAUCUCCUACUGACCAAACCAACGGUCUAGAACACAGAACAGACCCUCUGUAACCAUUUUUGCUGGCAGAGAGACGUAAGUUGCAGUUGUUUCCUGACAGAAGGGAAAAUCAGCAGAGCCAUUUUACGCGCACGUACUGAGAGCAGCUCAAGGACAGCCGGAGACCGAACCGAAGCCCCGGCUCAAAUUCUGUCUACUAAUCAAAUUCAGAACAUAAUGUUCUCCUGUUGAACCAAAGUGCAUCGUACAGUGGGACGAUUCAGUGCUUCCCAUGAAGGGAGAUAAUUAGGAUUCUAUCUAAAGUCGCUGCAAGAAAGACCAUGGUACGAUGCAGAGGAACUCAGUGAAUAUGCUGCAACUUGCACACACAUGAAAUACAUAUCAAACCAGCAUAAUGUAGUGACCACAUCAGUCACCAGGAAAAAACAACAAUAUUGUGUAUGGCUAGUUUAUCUGCUGCAGUUGUUUAGCACUGUGGAGUGUGUGUGUGUUUGCAUCUUAAUGUGUGGGUUUGCCGGAGAAGGAGCCACGUGAAACUGGCUAUGGUUCUAGCCCACUCAACUAUCCCAGGUCUACUGAUCUACUGCUGGCUUUAGCUCACAGCCCAAGUAUUGCUGGCAACACCACCCUCCCAGCUGGCACAUCUACACCACACCACAGCUUCAAAGAACAUCAGUACUGGAAGGGGCAGGUGAGAGUGGGAAAGAUGAAGAGAGAGAGAGAGAGAGAGAGAGAGAGAGAGAGAGAGAGAGAGAGAGGAGAUGGAGUGAGAGAGGAGUUGGAGAAGAGAAAGAUGAGGAGACAGUGUGAGAGAAUGAUACAAGGAAAGAUAAAUGGAGAGAGAGAGAGAGAGAGAGAGAUUGAGAGAGAGAGCGGAGAUGGAGUGAGAGAGGAGUUGGAGAAGAGAAAUAUGAGGAGACAGUGUGAGAGAGAAUGAUACAGGGAAAGAUAAAUGGAGAGAGCGAGAGAGAAGCGAGUUGAAGCCUCAUUCGUUUUUUUAACGGCAAUUGAAAACAAGCUGUCGUUUUCUUUUGAAGUUUUCGCUUUAAGCAACGAGGAUACACAAAUUUCUGCAAACUGUUGUCUUUUCAUUUUUUUCCUCUCUCUCUCCAUCUCCUGAAGAAGCACUCUGCUGAGGGGUAUAGCACAGGCACAGUCUGGCUAUGGUUGUCAAACUCAAUCUAGUGAGAUAAACAAAAAGACAGCAGUGUAGCAGCAGCCAGCAAACUCUUUCUCAAAGAACACGUUCACUUCUCACUUGUGAUUUAACACCUUCAAAAUUCCAAACUGCCACAGACAGCAGCACACUCGAUGCCUACCUGGGUUCAACUACUAUUCAAUAUCCUUUCAAAUACUCUAUCUGGCAUCGUGUAAACUCGCCGUGCAUAAUGGUUGAAUAGAGUCGUCCCAAAAGUGCAAACCCUGCAACAUCUUGUGAUGGCUAAAAAGGCUAAAACGCAAACGCUCAAAGUAUUUGAUAAACUUCAAGUAUUCAGUAUUUGAACCCAGGUAUGCGCUCUAGUGUAGUGAUUCUGAUUGGUUAUGGCGAUGACCUCUCCCCUUACCAUGCUCCGCCGCCUACAUAUUGCGCCAGACACCAGGAAAACACUCCCCCCAGAACGGCCCAUUGGUCUAACACGCUGUGAACGCACACAGCCCCAAAUUGCAGCACAGUCAAUUGGUUUAAUACUUUAAGGCGCCCCCCUGAACGCUAGACUAGCACGCUCCGUUAGUUCAAUGUGUUUCAUUGGAGCGGCGGCACGGGUGCAGACAUAAAGAGAGACAGAUUGGGGGGUGUUACCCAUUGACGAGUGGAGGGGGGUUUGGGGGGGGGCGGCAGCUUUGGUUAGGGCACGGACGAGGCCAUGGGGACAGAGAGAGAGGAGGAAACAUGGAACAUAGGAAGGGAGCAGAGGGGACGCUACUGUAUAGCUAGUAUUAGGCUGUUACAGGCCAUAUAAACUCUCACGAUACAAGCCUACAGAUGGAGGGACUGACAGCCUAUAGAUGGAGGGACUGACAGCCUAUAGAUGGAGGGACUGACAGCCUAUAGAUGGAGGGACUGACAGCCUAUAGAUGGAGGGACUGACAGCCUAUAGAUGGAGGGACUGACAGCCUAUAGAUGGAGGGACUGACAGCCUAUAGAUGGAGGGACUGACAGCCUAUAGAUGGAGGGACUGACAGCCUAUAGAUGGAGGGACUGACAGCCUAUAGAUGGAGGGACUGACAGCCUAUAGAUGGAGGGACUGACAGCCUAUAGAUGGAGGGACUGACAGCCUAUAGAUGGAGGGACUGACAGCCUAUAGAUGGAGGGACUGACAGCCUAUAGAUGGAGGGACUGACAGCCUAUAGAUGGAGGGACUGACAGC